CACGUAGGCACCAAGCGUUGUCCGGAUUUAUUUGGGCGUAAAAGAGCUCGUAGGCGGUUCGGUAAGUCGGAUGUGAAAACUUUGGGCUCAACCCAAAGCGUGCAUUCGAUACUGCCAUGACUAGAGUUCGGUAGGGGAGUGGGGAAUUCCUAGUGUAGCGGUGAAAUGCGCAGAUAUUAGGAGGAACACCCAUAGCGAAAGGCAGCUCGCUGGGACGUUAUGACGCUGAGGCGCGAAAGCGUGGGGAGCGAACAGG
rnacentral:rRNA from 1 species